UACGGAGGUGGCAAGCGUUGCUCGGAAUCACUGGGCGUAAAGGGCGCGUAGGCGGGGAGGUAAGUCGGGUGUGAAAUCCCUCGGCCCAACUGAGGAACUGCGCCCGAGACUGCCUCUCUUGAGUCCCGGAGAGGAAGAUGGAAUUCCCGGUGUAGCGGUGAAAUGUGUAGAGAUCGGGAGGAACACCGGUGGCGAAGGCGGUCUUCUGGACGGUGACUGACGCUGAGGCGCGAAAGCGUGGGGAGCAAACGGG
rnacentral:rRNA from 1 species